rnacentral:rRNA from 1 species
AGAGCGAACGCUGGCGGCAGGCCUAACACAUGCAAGUCGAACGGACCCUUCGGGGUUAGUGGCGGACGGGUGAGUAACACGUGGGAACGUGCCUUUUGGUUCGGAAUAGCUCCUGGAAACGGGUGGUAAUGCCGAAUGUGCCCUUCGGGGGAAAGAUUUAUCGCCAUUAGAGCGGCCCGCGUCUGAUUAGCUAGUUGGUGAGGUAAUGGCUCACCAAGGCGACGAUCAGUAGCUGGUCUGAGAGGAUGACCAGCCACAUUGGGACUGAGACACGGCCCAAACUCCGUACGGGAGCAGCAGGUGGGGAAUCUUGCGGACAAGUGGG